rnacentral:misc_RNA from 1 species
AACGCACGAGACCUGCGGACCUGCGGAGGGAUCAUUACCGAGUGCGGGCCCUCGCGGCCCAACCUCCCACCCUUGUCUCUAUACACCUGUUGCUUUGGCGGGCCCACCGGGGCCACCUGGUCGCCGGGGGACGUCGUCUCCGGGCCCGCGCCCGCCGAAGCGCUCUGUGAACCCUGAUGAAGAUGGGCUGUCUGAGUACUAUGAAAAUUGUCAAAACUUUUAGCAAUGGAUCUCUAGAUC